rnacentral:rRNA from 1 species
GUGGGGAAUAUUGGACAAUGGGGGGAACCCUGAUCCAGCCAUGCCGCGUGUGUGAAGAAGGCCUUUUGGUUGUAAAGCACUUUAAGCGAGGAGGAGGCUACCGAGAUUAAUACUCUUGGAUAGUGGACGUUACUCGCAGAAUAAGCACCGGCUAACUCUGUGCCAGCAGCCGCGGUAAUACAGAGGGUGCAAGCGUUAAUCGGAUUUACUGGGCGUAAAGCGCGCGUAGGUGGCCAAUUAAGUCAAAUGUGAAAUCCCCGAGCUUAACUUGGGAAUUGCAUUCGAUACUGGUUGGCUAGAGUAUGGGAGAGGAUGGUAGAAUUCCAGGUGUAGCGGUGAAAUGCGUAGAGAUCUGGAGGAAUACCGAUGGCGAAGGCAGCCAUCUGGCCUAAUACUGACACUGAGGUGCGAAAGCAUGGGGAGCAAACAGGAUUAGAUACCCGUGUAUCC